rnacentral:RNase_P_RNA from 1 species
GAAGUCCGCCAGGCAGCCGCGGCACGGCAACGUGUCGAGGAAAGUCCGGGCCCCAUAGAGCAGGAUGCCGGCUAACGGCCGGGCGCCGUGAGGCGACAGACAGUGCAACAGAAAGAUACCGCCGAUGGCCGCCCCGACUUUGACGCCGCAAGACGGCAAAGUCUCGCUCUUGAGUGAGCAGGGGCGGAUCAGGCAAGGGUGAAAUGGCGGGGUAAGAGCCCACCGCGGACGUGGUAACACGGACGGCAUGGCAAACCUCAUCCGGGGCAAGGCCAAAUAGGGGAGCAUUGACGUUGCUCGCGUCGCUCCCGGGUAGGCUGCUAAUGACUAUCGGCGACGAUAGUCGACGAGGCCGUCAGCAAUGGCGGUCCCAGAGGAAUGGCUGCCCACGACAGAACCCGGCUUAUCGGCGGACUUCCACA